rnacentral:rRNA from 1 species
CUGCUGCCUUCCGUAGGAGUCUGGUCCGUGUCUCAGUACCAGUGUGGGGGGCCUUCCUCUCAGAACCCCUACGCAUCGUCGCCUCGGUGGGCCGUUACCCCGCCGACUAGCUAAUGCGCCGCAUGCCCAUCCGUGGCCGGGAUUGCUCCCUUUGGCGGCCUUGGGAUGCCCCAAGGCCGCGUUACGCGGUAUUAGACGGGGUUUCCCCCGCUUAUCCCCCUGCCACGGGCAGGUUGCAUACGUGUUACUCACCCGUGCGCCGGUCGCCGGCAACGG